rnacentral:rRNA from 1 species
CACCGCGGUUAUACGAAAGACCCUAGUUGAUAAAUAUGGCGUAAAGGGUGGUUAAGGUAAAAUAUUAAAUAAAGCUAAAGACCUCCUAAGCCGUCAUACGCAUUCCGGGGACACGAAGCCCAAACACGAAAGUAGCUUUAAACAAAUUCACCUGACCCCACGAAAGCUAAGAAA